AUGGCUCAGGAUGAACGCUGGCGGCGUGCCUAAUACAUGCAAGUGAAACGGGUAUCUUCGGAUACCAGUCGCGGACGGGUGAGUAAUACAUAGGCAACCUGCCUUUAUGAGGGGGAUAACCGAGGGAAACUUUGGCUAAUACCGCAUGAAGACUCUAAGGCAUCUUAGAGGGAUAAAAGUUGGGAAACAACGCAUGAAGAUGGGCUUAUGGCGCAUUAGCUAGUUGGUGAGAUAGAAGCCCACCAAGGUAAUGAUGCGUAGCCGACCUGAGAGGGUGAACGGCCACAUUGGGACUGAGACACGGCCCAAACUCCUACGGGAGGCAGCAGUAGGGAAUUUUCGGCAAUGGGGGGAACCCUGACCGAGCAACGCCGCGUGAAGGAAAAGAAGGUUUUCGGAUUGUAAACUUCUGUUAUAAGGGAAGAACGGAUUGGAUAGGGAAUGAUCUGAUAGUGACGGUACCUUAUUAGAAAGCCACGGCUAACUACGUGCCAGCAGCUGC
rnacentral:rRNA from 1 species